CUUCACCGAGCCGAGCCACAGCGGCCGGUCGGCCGGCCUGCCCUGCCCAUAGGUGGCGAGCAGCGCGUCGGCCUC
rnacentral:antisense_RNA from 1 species